rnacentral:rRNA from 1 species
GUGGGGAAUAUUGGACAAUGGGCGCAAGCCUGAUCCAGCCAUGCCGCGUGAGUGAUGAAGGCCUUAGGGUUGUAAAGCUCUUUCAGUAGGGAAGAUAAUGACGGUACCUACAGAAGAAGCCCCGGCUAACUUCGUGCCAGCAGCCGCGGUAAUACGAAGGGGGCUAGCGUUGUUCGGAUUUACUGGGCGUAAAGCGCACGUAGGCGGAUUGGUCAGUUAGAGGUGAAAUCCCGAAGCUCAACUUCGGAACUGCCUUUAAUACUGCCAGUCUCGAGGCCGGAAGAGGUGAGUGGAACUCCUAGUGUAGAGGUGGAAUUCGUAGAUAUUAGGAAGAACACCAGUGGCGAAGGCGGCUCACUGGUCCGGUACUGACGCUGAGGCGCGAAAGCGUGGGGAGCAAACAGGAUUAGAAACCCGAGUAGUCC